UACAAAGUGGAGAUAUGGUGGUUUUGGGACCGUAGAUCACGCUGUAUCUAACGGCUGAAGUUUCACUCGCCUUAUUAAGGGAAUUUUCGUAAUUUAAGGCUUUGAAUGACCUCUGUUCUAAUUCUUGCACACGCUUUAUUUUUUCUCUCUCUUCUUUAGAUUUUCACUCUGUUCCUCCCAAUUCUCUAAAGAGACGAUUUUUUUUCUUCGCUCUUCUAUUUCUUCGUUUUUCAAUUUUUUCGCUUUUGCUCAUCAAUUUCUCGUGAUAAUCUAUUAAGAUUUGAGAGAAACGGGAAGCUAAUGUGAGCAAGAGUGCAACCUGUGCACCUUGGAAGCUUGUGAGGAGCAGCUGAAGCAUGAGCAGAGCCUGCUCCAUGAGCAGUCCACAACAACAACAUAGGCAUAGUAUAGUAGCAAGUAUUACAGCAGCUCAGCGAAAGGCCCCCAAGCUUUGGCAUCAAGGCCUUGGACAUGCAACAACAUAAAGCCAGAAACAACAUGCACACCAACAGCACAAGCACUAGUUUAAUGAGAGAGUGUGUGCAGCGAAAAGCGUAAACAUGGUUGGAAGGAGAUGCGAUUUCUAUAAUUAAGCUUUUAUUAUUUACUUUUGAGUAUUUUUAUUUACUUUUGUGAUUUUUCAGCAUAAAGAAAAUAAAAAUGAUCGAUUGUGUUAACUAAUUAUUCUUACUCUAUGAUAACCUACUAGCUCAAUAGGUAGAGCAUUGUGCAAGUCAACAAGUGCACAAAAGAUGUGGGUUCGAAUCCCACGUAGAUUUAUGUGUGUAAUUUGAAGAUUAGAAGUCGUAAUGUUUUAUUAAAUUUCUUCGUUUUUUUGUUUA